AAAAGUAGAAAAGGGCACACGGUGGAUGCCUAGGCAUACAGUGGCGAUGAAGGACGUGCUAAGCUGCGAUAAUCUGCGGGGAGCUGCAAAGAAGCGUUGAUCCGCGGGUAUCCGAAUGGGGAAACCCAUCCCGAGCGAUCGGGAUAUUCCUUCGGGAAGGCAAACCCUCCGAACUGAAACAUCUAAGUAGGAGGAGGAAAAGAAAACAAUAGUGAUGUCCCAAGUAGUGGCGAGCGAACGGGACGGAGCCCAAAUCCUGGCGGGGCAACCUGCCAGGAGGUUGUAGGACCACAACAUCCGAACUCAAGGCGAGUCGAAGCUGACUGGAAAGCAGCCCCAUAGACGGUGAAAGGCCGGUAGGCGAAGCCCGCGGGGAGGUAGUGGUAUCCUGAGUAAUGCGGGACCGGUGAAAUCCUGCAUGAAUCUGGCGGCACCAUCCGCCAAGGCUAAAUACAUCUGUAUGACCGAUAGUGGACAAGUACCGUGAGGGAAAGGUGAAAAGAACGCCGAGACGGCGAGUGAAAUAGUACCUGAAACCGUGUGCUUACAAGCGGUCGGAGCUCAUCUUCGGAUGGGUGACGGCGUGCCUUUUGUAUAAUGAGCCUACGAGUUGCUCCUGUCGUGCGAGGUUAAUCCGCUCAGCGGAGAAGCCGCAGCGAAAGCGAGUCUGAGAAGGGCGCGCAGUACGGCGGGGCAGACGCGAAACCGGGUGAUCUAUCCAUGGUCAGGGUGAAGGUGCCGUAACAGGUGCUGGAGGCCCGAACCGCCUGGCGUUGAAAAGCCAUCGGAUGAACUGUGGAUAGGGGUGAAAGGCCAAUCAAACUCGGAAAUAGCUCGUACUCCCCGAAAUAUAUUUAGGUAUAGCGUUUGCCAUAGAGCCUGCCGGAGGUAGAGCACUGAUUAGGCUAGGGCCCUUCACCGGGUACCAAACCUAGACAAACUCCGAAUGCCGGCAGGUGUUGCCAGGCAGUCAGUGGCAGGGUGAUAACGUCCUGUCGCGAGAGGGAAACAACCCAGACCAUCGGUUAAGGUCCCAAAAUACCAGCUAAGUUGAACAAAGAAAGUUGGAUUGCCCAGACAACCAGGAGGUUGGCUUAGAAGCAGCCAUUCCUUAAAAGAGUGCGUAAUAGCUCACUGGUCGAGCGAUCCGGCGUCGAUAAUUUGCGGGCAUAAGCUGGUUACCGAAACCAUGGAUUCUAUCACUUGAUAGAGUGGUAGGGGAGCAUACCGACCCCGCCGAAGGCGGCCUGUGAGGGCUUCUGGAGGGGUCGGCAGAGAAACUGUAGGCAUGAGUAACGAUAAGACGGGUGAGAAACCCGUCCACCGAAAACCCAAGGGUUCCUGAUCAACGCUAAUCGGAUCAGGGUUAGUCGAGACCUAAGGUGUAG
rnacentral:rRNA from 1 species